UGGGGAAUUUUGGACAAUGGGCGMAAGCCUGAUCCAGCMAUGCCGCGUGCAGGAUGAAGGCCUUCGGGUUGUAAACUGCUUUUGUACGGAACGAAAAGACUCUGGUUAAUACCUGGGGUUCAUGACGGUACCGUAAGAAUAAGCACCGGCUAACUACGUGCCAGCAGCCGCGGUAAUACGUAGGGUGCAAGCGUUAAUCGGAAUUACUGGGCGUAAAGCGUGCGCAGGCGGUGAUGUAAGACAGAKGUGAAAUCCCCGGGCUCAACCUGGGAACUGCMUUWGUGACUGCAUCGCUGGAGUGCGGCAGAGGGGGAUGGAAUUCCGCGUGUAGCAGUGAAAUGCGUAGAUAUGCGGAGGAACACCGAUGGCGAAGGCAAUCCCCUGGGCCUGCACUGACGCUCAUGCACGAAAGCGUGGGGAGCAAACAGGAUUAGAUACCCUGGUAGUCCACGCCCUAAACKAUGUCAACUGGUUGUUGGGAAUUCACUUUCUCAGUAACGAAGCUAACGCGUGAAGUGACCGC
rnacentral:rRNA from 1 species